UACGGAGGGGACUAGCGUUGUUCGGAAUUACUGGGCGUAAAGCGCACGUAGGCGGAUUUGUAAGUCAGGGGUGAAAUCCCGGGGCUCAACCUCGGAACUGCCUUUGACACUGCAAAUCUCGAGUCCGGAAGAGGUGAGUGGAAUUCCUAGUGUAGAGGUGAAAUUCGUAGAUAUUAGGAAGAACACCAGUGGCGAAGGCGGCUCACUGGUCCGGUACCGACGCUGAGGUGCGAAAGCGUGGGGAGCAAACCGG
rnacentral:rRNA from 1 species